UCAGAUGCUAAAAAGGCACACAGACCAGCAGACACAGACACACACACGCGAGGGUGUGGUGGAAGUUGAGGCAUCCACUUCCACAGACCAACACCACAGAACAUUUUGGAAACUGCUGACUGUUCCCGGCCACAACCACGCCGCCAUCCAAAACCAUCAUUUACCAACAAGAUGGUGCCUUUUGCACCAGCUAACCCUAAUACUUUACUCCCACACAUGCUGACAGUGCUAUUAUCAUCUAAAAUUACAGUACACUUCCUUCCCUACGGUCUAUUUGUAAAAGCAACACCAGCCUCUAAAUUCUCUCAUUUAGCCCCGUGGUGCAUCUGCAUGUAACAAUAGCAAGACACAGAAGGAUGGAGUCUUCAUCAGAAAGCGCCCUGCGUCCUGAUUGAUAUGCACCAACUGUCCUCAUACAGGCUGCUACUUCUACUGCUGCUGCUGCACUGGGAUGGAAAAAAAAUAAGAAAAAAAAGGCAGGCGAGCACCGAGCUACAGCACAGAGACACAGAUGAAAAGCCCACAGCUUACUCUAUGAUCCAGCUUCUCCGAUGAGCCCAAGGAAAACAGAACACUCUAAGCUAAACAGACCUGAGGAUGUGAAAUCAUUAAUCUCAUGUAAACCAGCUUAAUUGAUGCCUCGCCUCUUCUCGGAUACGAGUCGGUCCUUGAUUUAUGCUUCCCUGUGCUACGAGAUUAGAAAGGUUAAAGAGAUCCUCUGUGGAAGUGACUGUACUUGACAGGAGUCUUUGAUCUGUGGCAAGAGAAUGACAAUUUGUCCCCGGAGACACAAGAAAGAGAAAUACAGUGAUCAUUGUGUGUUUGUGGAAUAUUUUGUUUGGCCGUCCAUUACUAAAGUUCAGAGCGAUCACGCUGACUGGGGUGAAAAAAAAAAGAAAAAAGAAUGGAGACGUUCACCGCAGCGAGCAGACAUCACAGGGUUUGUCAGAUGUUUAUGAAAUUAAUCGUCUGUUCCACUUGUUUUGAAGCCGCAUGACAGGGAAUUAUCUCCUUUGUCCUGGUCGUCAUCGAACACUUCCAGCAUACACACCGAUCGGAGCUGUUGCUGCCAGAUUAAACAGCCCCUCGUGCUGUAUUACCUGCAGUAUGGCAGCCCGAACCAUGACUUAGCUCAUUAAACGCAGACAAAAGGGGCCUUGACGGUUUACAUAAACCACAACAGAUAUGUGCCCCGUAGGCCUAAUCAACAACACCAAAACAUCUCCUUAAUUAACAAUCAUUAACUUGAUGCAUCCACUAUUAACAGCACCAAUUAAUUACAUACAGAGCUAAUGUCUCAUAAGUAAUUGAAAGCAUGGUGGAUGGAUGAAAGGAUAGAUGGAGCCGCUCACUGUAGCGCAAGGGGGGCAGAACAGAUGGAUGUACUUUCGCCUCGUUUUGCUGCGUCAGUU
ensembl:lncRNA